rnacentral:rRNA from 1 species
UACGGGGAGGGCAAGCGUUGUUCGGAAUUACUGGGCGUAAAGGGCUCGUAGGCGGCCAACUAAGUCAGACGUGAAAUCCCCAGGCUCAACCUGGGAACUGCGUCUGAUACUGGAUGGCUUGAAUUCGGGAGAGGGAUGCAGAAUUCCAGGUGUAGCGGUGAAAUGCGUAGAUAUCUGGAGGAAUACCGGUGGCGAAGGCAGGUCUCUGGGCAUUAACUGACGCUGAGGAGCGAAAGCAUGGGGAGCGAACAGG